UACGAAGGGGGCUAGCGUUGCUCGGAAUUACUGGGCGUAAAGCGCACGUAGGCGGCUCUUUAAGUCGGGGGUGAAAUCCUGGAGCUCAACUCCAGAACUGCCUUCGAUACUGUAGAGCUUGAGUUCGGGAGAGGUGAGUGGAACUGCGAGUGUAGAGGUGAAAUUCGUAGAUAUUCGCAAGAACACCAGUGGCGAAGGCGGAUCACUGGCCCGGAACUGACGCUGAGGUGCGAAAGCGUGGGGAGCAAACAGG
rnacentral:rRNA from 1 species